CAGAAUUGGGGAAGGGAGGAGGAGCUCUCAACCCUCACAACCUUUGAUCCACCAUAACUCCUACGUCCGGGCUUCGAUCGCUGCACCGUUCGCGGCCACGCACUUAGCGUGUCGAGCUCUACCUUUCUAUCCAAAUAAUUUUACUAGUUCAAGUUAGCUUUUGAAACUUGUGGCCUCAAGCUAUUGAGCAUAUAGAUGUAGGUCGAGAGGCUCCUCGCUAGGCGUCUGGAUCUUGAAGCGAAGUAGUUCCU